UGACCGUGGUGUGUAAUUUCAGUCCUUGG
rnacentral:piRNA from 1 species